rnacentral:lncRNA from 1 species
UCAAAGCACAUUACUUAAAACAACAAUAGAUUAUUCAAAACAACAUUCAAAUAAUAACAACAAUUUCACACAAACAAUAACCUAAAUUUCACAUUUUAUAAGGAAAUUUACAGUCUUAAGACAGCAACAGUUUCAUAGCAAGAGUUAAAACACAAUGGGGGCAGCAACCAAAACCUACAAUAUUGGGGCAGCAACAAUGAGGAAACCAAAAUCCACAAUAGGGCAGUAAUAACAAUGGGGAAACCAAAACCCAUAAUGGGAAAAAUGCUUGACAAAUCUUAUCGGUUGGAGCAACAAUGGGGAGGAGGACGUCAACUGGAGCUUAGGGAAUCGAACGGGUAGAAGGAUCGGGAGGUUCAAACGGCGAGAAAAGGAACAAGCAAUUGACGGAGUGUUUGCGUCCGGCAUGGAUGAUGCUCCGGUGCAUUUCAAUCGGCAAUUCUAGUGGCGAAGGUCGAGUAUGGGGUGCGACGACAAGAGAGGUAGAGAGGAGAGGAGAAGAGAAAAGAGAGAAACGGGGGAACACGAACCGCUUGAGGGUUUUAAUUUGGCCUAUUAACAGAAUCACUAACGAUAAUUUUUAUCUGUUAAACCAGCGACUGAAUUUCUGUCGGUAAACUUAUUAACCUUUUAAGUAAUAUUACCG